UACGAAGGGGGCUAGCGUUGCUCGGAAUCACUGGGCGUAAAGCGUGCGCAGGCGGUUAUGUAAGACAGAUGUGAAAUGCCCGGGCUUAACCUGGGAACUGCAUUUGUGACUGCAUGGCUAGAGUUUGGCAGAGGGGGGUAGAAUUCCACGUGUAGCAGUGAAAUGCGUAGAUAUGUGGAGGAACACCGAUGGCGAAGGCAGCCCCCUGGGUCAAGACUGACGCUCAUGCACGAAAGCGUGGGGAGCAAACAGG
rnacentral:rRNA from 1 species